GUGAUGAUGCAUGUUGUGACCAAUCACUCAGAUAUUCAAUUGCUAUAUGCAAAAAUUCCACAAUUUACGGUUCACAUGAAUCAAACCAUAGUACACACACACACACAUACCUGCACACACACACAUAAUAGUACAAUAAACGUUGUCAAAGUUAAAUACUUUACAUUCACACAUCGAAAAAUUAAAAUCUAAAUACUAUGGCUUUCGAUGGGUGUGUGUCUUGAGCAGUUGAGAAAUAAUAACUCGUUUUCACAACUAAUCAAAUUUAAUUUUAAAACGUUACUCAAUUGUUAUUUAUUGAUAAUUAAUCAACAGAUUUAAUUUUUAUUUUUAUGAAGUUUCAUUAAUAAUCUCUUUAAAUAAUGUAAAUGUGGAAAAGUCACUAAUUUAACUUUGUCUUUACCAAUGCUAUUUAAGUAUAUAAGUUUUUAAUUAUGGUAAUAAUUAAUAUUUUAUCUCAAUAAUAAUGGCUUUUAAUUUAAAACUUAAUGUACAGAAAUAUAUAUUUUAAAUUUAUUUUUAUUUCAUUUUUAACAAUACGACGAGAUGAAGUUAAUUAAAAUAUUGACCAAAACGCAUUUUAAAUUCACAACAUUUGGAGUCUUAGGUACUGAUGAUGAGAGGAACCCUAAAGCGGCCAAUGUUCCACCGUGGUUGAAGGAAGGAUGGGAGGUAUGAUAUGGUGACGUGAGUGAAACGAGUGCACAACACCCAGUCCCUAAAUCCUAUCCAGUUUUAUAUUUUAGACAAUUGUCGUGGUGAACAAUUUUUUAAGAAGGUAAAAUUGAUCAAAGAUUAAAAAAAUAAAUUGGAUUUAUAUAUAUUAGACGUGCAGAUAUUUUCUCAAGUGGAAAAGCUAAAAGUUACUCUUUUCACAAACAACCAUUCAAACACAAAUUACACCAAUUCAUCGAGGAACAAAUACGGACAAAUGCAUGUGAUGCGUCAACGAAAAUUGCAAUCAGCUUUCUUUUAGGUCAAUUUUACAGGCAAUUUCAAUUCGGAGGAGUGGAGACAAUCAUAUAGGGACAGGACUCCAAAGCGUACGGGAAAAAAAAUAAAAUGAGAUGAACGUUACAAGUCGAAUGGCCGGGGCUCGCGGUAGUCGACUGGACUCUCCGGCAGAGUGGCUUAGGCGGCGUUGGCGGCGUUGUCAGCAUCGGACGCGUCAGCUGGUGCGGCGGGGUGGUCUGGCGCUGCCUGUUGUUGUUCCUGUAUCCAAAUGCCGCUUUGCCAGAUGCAGUAUACGUAGUGCAUAGUAGCCACGAUGCAGAAUACAAAGUCCAACAUUGUGUGACACUCAACUCGCUGUAUAGACACGGCUACGUCAAGUGCUGAUCGCGUCCCGCAGUGUAAUGCCUGUCGACAGGACGCCGCAGAAUUCGGGGCCCGACACACGGACGAGUGACGACGACCUUGUACCGUGGUCGAGGGUUUCCGGCGGCGGACCAACCGCAGUCGUUGUGGGUGUGUCUGGGCCUCGUUUCCCUACGUCCCCCCACAUCCGGCCGGGGGACCCGCUUCAACCCCCGACACCGAGCCCGGACUACCGAGCUCUACCUAUAAGAGACGCGCGUUCGAAACGGCAAGAGGACACGCGGACGCUGCGCCGUCGUCGCGGCAUCUGGCCUAAUACGCAUACGCGUGAGCCGUUUGCUCAAAAAUCUAAAAAUAUCACUGUCUCGUGCCAGCGAUGGAGGUGCGCGGUGGAGGUGUGUCAUGGAGGCGGUAGUGGAGGUGACGGCGGCUGUGGCGGCAGCGGUGGCGGCCAGUAGAGACGCGUGGAUCCGAUGACGUGCGCGGGGAGAGUUCAAUCUUCGACUAACGCCGCCGCCGCCGCCGUCGCCUUUGACACGGCGACGACACCGACGACGCACGCACGAUGAUGUAUACAUUUAGGAAAUUGCGUGUCGGUCAAGAGAAUCUUUUUUAUAAUAACAUUUUAUAUGUGCAUCGACGACGACUGUAUAUUUAAUGUAUACAUAAUAUUAUGUAUAUAUAUAUUAUUUUCUUUUACCCACAUAAUGAUAUAUAUAGUAUAAUAUUAUCGGAAGUAUAUUGUGCACACACACACACACACACGCUGCAGACCUAACCGGCACUAAUAAUAUAUAUCGUAUCUUACCGAAUUGGCUUUUCGCCUUUCUCCGUACGUUCGGUCGACUACGCCGCCGUGUUUAAUCCCCGUUUAUGCAUCUGUGUGACAGCGUUUGGUGUUCGUACGUGUAUUAUAACACUAUAUGUUUACCUAUGGCGUGCGCAUUUGUAAUCCGAAAACAAACCGUUAUGGGUAGUGUUUUUUGUUAGAUUCUGUUUCGUAGAAAACUUCUGCGAACUUGUAACGAACGGUUCCCGGUAUUAUAAUAUAAUAUAUGCACGCACGCACACACACAGAGAUAUUAUGUUUUUUUCGCCGGAUCCCAAAUCGAAAAUUCUCACCGCGUUCUUUUUUACUCGAUUUUCGUCGUUUGUCCUUCAAACAUAAUAUUCACCGUUGGUACCUAAUGUAUUUUGUUUCGCGAUGUUAUAUUAUUAUUAUUAUGUACAUUUUUCAAAAUGUAUUUUUAAUCGAUUUAGUGAAAACACGAAAACGCCACACAUAGUUAUGUCGCCCCUAAAUAAAACAUAAUUUGUCGAGUCGACUACUAUUAGAGUACUGCGGGCGGGUAUCUAUAAUACUGAGUGUGUAUUUCAAAAUAAUAAUAUUGACGAGCGUAUAUAAUAUUUACCUAUUUGCAAAUCGUUAGAGUUGUAUGUAUUUUGAUAAGACAUCAAGAAAAUAUGUGGUGAAAUAGAUGGUUUAAAUGAAAAACUGAAAAUUAAGUAUAUUUAAGUUAUACCGUAAUAGUAGAACAUAAUAUUGAAAAAAUAAAAGUCAAUAAAUUAUGCCCAAACAACAGAAAAAUAUUAUACCAUAAUUAAUUUGUACCAAUCAUUUUUUAAAGUUAGUAGUAAGGAAUAAUUAUUUGUCAUUAGGUUUAACGAUGGUAGUGUAAUAAUAUGAUUUCAGAGUAAUUAAGAAGUUAUGAAGUUUUAUUUAUUUAAAAAAAAGUAAAAGUCAAACAAAAGUUAAU